rnacentral:rRNA from 1 species
CAGCCGCCACGGGAAUACGUAGGUGGCAAGCGUUGUCCGGAAUUAUUGGGCGUAAAGGGCUCGCAGGCGGUUUCUUAAGUCUGAUGUGAAAGCCCCCGGCUCAACCGGGGAGGGUCAUUGGAAACUGGGAAACUUGAGUGCAGAAGAGGAGAGUGGAAUUCCACGUGCAGCGGUGAAAUGCGUUGAGAUCGGAAAGAACACCAACGGCGAAAGCACUCUGCUGGGCCGACACUGACACUGAGAGACGAAAGCUAGGGGAGCAAAUGGGAUUAGAUACCCCUGUAGUCCCUGUCUCUUAUAC